GACGAACGCUGGCGGCGUGCUUAACACAUGCAAGUCGAACGGAAAGGCCCUGCUUGCAGGGUGCUCGAGUGGCGAACGGGUGAGUAACACGUGGGUGAUCUGCCCCUUACUUUGGGAUAAGCCUGGGAAACUGGGUCUAAUACUGGAUAGGACCAUGCUGUAGGUGGUGUGGUGGAAAGAUUAGUUUCGGUAAGGGAUGAGCUCGCGGCCUAUCAGCUUGUUGGUGGGGUAAUGGCCUACCAAGGCGUCGACGGGUAGCCGGCCUGAGAGGGUGGACGGCCACAUUGGGACUGAGAUACGGCCCAGACUCCUACGGGAGGCAGCAGUGGGGAAUAUUGCACAAUGGGCGCAAGCCUGAUGCAGCGACGCCGCGUGGGGGAUGACGGCCUUCGGGUUGUAAACUCCUUUCUGCCAUGACGAAGCCCUUGUGGUGACGGUAGUGGUAGAAGAAGCACCGGCUAACUACGUG
rnacentral:rRNA from 1 species